UGAGAACAAGUUUUCCAGGAUGGACUUUUCGGACUAUAAAGGGAACGCUCCGUAGUCUCUUUCAUCACGGUGAUAGAACAUUCAGAUGGCUGUGGAUCUGACAAUACCGCACCCGGCUGGAAGUGGUGGAAGAGCGGAUCAAUAAAAGGAAUUGUGGGUAUCUGGCAAGAGGUUCUUUGUAAUCCUACUUGCAAGAUUUGGCAACACUGAGUCAAGACGUACCUCCUUCGCUGUGAUUUCUUGCACCACAACACUGAUACGCAUUUAAAUACAUCAUUAAAAACUAAUUGUUCAGUUCGGUUCUGUAUACACAGCAUGAAUUUCUGCAAAUGUGGUUGUCACUACCUGCAUUUUUCAGAAGUCAAUUCGGUUGUAGAAUGUGGUUGUCACUUCCUUA